CUCAGGAUGAACGCUGGCGGCGUGCCUACACAUGCAAGUCGAACGAAGAGGCCUCUUCGGAGGUACUUCAGUGGCGGACGGGUGAGUAACACGUAGGUGACCUACCCCGAAGUGUGGAAUAACAGUCCGAAAGGAUUGCUAAUACCGCAUGUGAUCUGUGAGGUUAGAGUCUUGCAGAUUAAAGCAGUAAUGUGCUUCGGGAGGGGCCUGCGCCCCAUCAGCUAGUUGGUAGGGUAAUGGCCUACCAAGGCUACAACGGGUAGGGGGCCUGAGAGGGUGACCCCCCACAUUGGCACUGACACACGGGCCAAACUCCUACGGGAGGCAGCAGUGAGGAAUAUUGCUCAAUGGGCGAAAGCCUGAAGCAGCAACGCCGCGUGCGCGAUGAAGGCCUUCGGGUCGUAAAGCGCUUUUGAGAGGGACGAGAUAGGACGGUACCUCUUGAAUAAGUCACGGCUAACUACGUGCCAGCAGCCGCGGUAAAACGUAGGUGGCAAGCGUUAUCCGGAUUCACUGGGCGUAAAGCGCGUGCAGGUGGCUCUGUAAGUUGGAUGUUAAAUCUUCCGGCCUAACCGGGAGUGGUCAUUCAAUACUGCGGGGCUUGAGGGCAGAAGAGGGGGGUGGAAUUGCCGGUGUAGUGGUGAAAUGCGUAGAUAUCGGCAGGAACACCUGUGGCGAAAGCGGCCCCCUAGUCUGCUCCUGACACUCAGACGCGAAAGCCAGGGUAGUGAACGGGAUUAGAAACCCCGGUAAUCCUGGCCGUAAACGAUGGAUGCUAGGUGUAGGUGGUAUUGACCCCAUCUGUGCCGAAGCUAACGCGUUAAGCAUCCCGCCUGGGGACUACGGGCGCAAGGUUUAAACUCAAAU
rnacentral:rRNA from 1 species